rnacentral:rRNA from 1 species
AGCGACGCCGCGUGAGUGAUGAAGGCCCUCGGGUUGUAAAGCUCUGUUYUWUGGGAACAAAAAAAUGAGUGUACCAUAGGAGAAAGGACCGGCUAACUUCGUGCCAGCAGCCGCGGUAAUACGAGGGGUCCAAGCGUUGUUCGGAAUUAUUGGGCGUAAAGCGGGUGUAGGUGGUUUUUCAAGUCAGAAGUGAAAGCCCCGGGCUCAACCCGGGAAGUGCUUUUGAUACUGUUAAACUUGAGUGUAGGAGAGGAUAGUAGAAUUCCAGGUGUAGUGGUGAAAUACGUAGAUAUCUGGAGGAAUACCGGUGAGGAAGCUGGCUGUCUGGCCUAACACUGACACUCAGACCCGAAAGCGUGGGUAGCAAACAGGAUUAGAUACCCUGGUAGUCCACGCCGUAAACGAUGAACACUUGGUGUUGGAGGUAUUGACCCCUUCAGUGCCGAAGCUAACGCGUUAAGUGUUCCGCCUGGGGAGUACGGUCGCAAGAUUAAAACUCAAAGAAAUUGACGGGGGCCCGCACAAGCGGUGGAGCAUGUGGUUUAAUUCGAUGCAACGCGAAGAACCUUACCUGGGCUUGACAUGCACGAGAAAGCCGGUGGAAACAUCGGCCCCUCUUCGGAGUUCGUGCACAGGUGCUGCAUGGCUGUCGUCAGCUCGUGUCGUGAGAUGUUGGGUUAAGUCCCGCAACGAGCGCAACCCUCGUCCCUAGUUACCAGC